rnacentral:lncRNA from 1 species
AGAGUUUUACACAGGGUUUCAUAUGAGUCUCACAAAGUCUCAAACUUUUGCUCAAGGGUUCCAAACUUUAUUUUUGUAUUUUAAUUCUUUCUACACCUUUUUAAUUUAAUCUUUUGGCCAUAUGAUGAUUUCUGAUGGAUGUUUCUUUUUAUUUUUUUUAUAAAAAAUUAUUUGAUUAAACUCUCUCACCGAGGAUUACAAAGUCUCAAUUUUUUCCGUUAAAAUUGAUUUCUACUUUUUAUUUUUCCAAACCACAUGAUGAUCAUCUGAUGGUUUGUUUUUUC